rnacentral:rRNA from 1 species
GGAUCAGAGAAUCGGUCAUGCCUUGGUAUGUACUGGUUUUAUUGGUUCUCACCUUCUAAAGAACCAUAAUGUCAUUUAUUUGAUGUUAUGGGGAAUUAGGACUGUUACCUUGAAAAAUUAGAGUGUUUAAAGCAAGCUUACGCUUGAAUACAUUAGCAUGGAAUAAUGAAAUAGGACAUCAGAUUCUAUUUUGUUGGCUUCUAGGAUCGAUGUAAUGAUU